UCAAUACAAUUGAAAAAAACUCUAAAUUGAAAAAAACUCUCAGCUCACUCUCAACCUAGCUCCCGAUCCACGACGCCGCCGUGCUCUGAGCCACCCAUUUCCCUUCUCCAUCUCCACUCCACCAGCCACCACCGACCCAUUCAAACACACACUCACAACCCCAACCCCACCAUACCCACUUCUCUCCGUGUCUCUCUUCCUAGCCGCAACUCACCACAACCCCUGCCCUCACUCUCUCGGCAAUUUCAAGUUUGUUUCUCUCAACUUCAGGUCUUGGGUGAUAGUUCAGUUUUGUGGCUGGGAGUUUGUGUGAGGUUUUGCCCAUCUGGUUUAUUUUGCACAUUGGGCUGGUGGAGAACUUUGUAAUCAUGGAGUAGGCUCGGUCAGUUUUGCUAGGAAGAAGAAAACCGAUACAGUUUUGCUGCCUAUUCAGAUUACUUGUCCCUAGUGUCAUGGAGAAAGGGAAACUUUGCUGUCAAAGCCCCCCAGUUGUGAUUUUGGGUUUGCACGUGCAAUGUCCAUGAAUACUGUUGUUUUGAGAUCCAUAAAAGGCACUCCACUGUAUAUGGCUCCGGAACUGGUACGGGAACAGCCUUACAACAACACAGCUGAUUUAUGGUUCCUUGGAGUUAUUCUGUCUUGUUAUGGCUUUAAUUGGUUCUCUCUUCAGUAUAAUUGUGUCAAUAAUAAUGCCAGCUUUAUGAUUUUUAAAAAUCAAGGGGAAUAAAGCUACAAGGACACAGAUUGUUUCAAGUACCACAAUAGCUGUAUUGGGAGUCAUUUGUGCGACUGUUGCAACAUAUUCUUCAGUGUCAGACAUUGUGAAGAGUUACUGAAAUAUUCAAAUGGUUCAACAUGUCAAUAAUUCUGGUAAAUACCCAUCCCUGUGGUAUGUGCAUUCUCUUUGCAUCACACUAAAUAUUCAAGUCACAGAUUAUAGCCAGGAAUUAGACCUUUUGAAUGCUGAAACUCAUUAUAUCUUUAAAUGUAGCCUUUAUGGACUUGUAUUAAACACAUUUUUUUAUGGUAAUUUUUGUACUGAAUACAUUGAUGUUAUCAUUUGUAACAUUGAAGAAGAAACGCAGUCACUCUAGCUGUAAUUUCUGUAAUGAUGGUACUUAUGUCCUUUGUAUCUAAUUUACUGAAAACUAGUGUUUUGACCUUAAAACAAAGUGACAAACAUUUUAAUGGUUCUUGUAAGAGAGCCUAAACUUUACCUUUUUAACUGAGAAACAAUUCUUAAUCUGUAUGCUAGGUUAUUUUAAGCAAUAAAGCCAUUCCUCAUAGAUUUUGUAGCAUCUAAUUAUAGAUGGCAUUUCAGAUACCCUUUUGUCUUCAUUCUCAAUUCAUAUCGUAUAUCAUGUCCUACCCUGCAACCAAAUCCUCUUAUAAAGUAAAGCUCUUUAAUUUUGACGAAUCAGAGAAUGACAUGUGAAGGGGCAAUAAAUCUAAGAAUGUUUUCUGGGUAGAAAAGAAGUGGCAUUCAUCAUUCCCUAGUAAAAGCACACUGCAGAGUUGGCCUUUCAGUUUAGCCUUGAGCCAAAGGCAUUACCCUAGUUCAAGGGAGCCCCAAACAUCUUUUUUUUAGUUCUAUCCAUGGCUGUGGAAGUCUAGAGAAUAUUUUUUACCUUGAAAUUGUUGUCUUGUUUGUAAGAGAUGAGAAGGGGAAAUUUUUGUCAAAAAAAAAUUUCUACGUUGAGCUUAUAAUCAUUUUGCUUGUUUAGGCAGGGGUGGGGUCCAGCAUUUUCUGAUUCCUAUGUUAGAAAUUGAAAUAGGAAGUCUGUUCUAUAUAUCCGUAGGUUUUGCAUUGAAUGAGGUUCUAGUUAGACAUUAGAGGCUUUAAAAGUUUAGCUUAACAUUGAUUGUUGAAGAAUUUCUUAAGUACUAGAAUAAAACAUUAAUUUCUUGAUGUUUUCUUUCCAUGUGUUGAUGCAUCCAUUCAUAUCUGGGAAUCUUUUAGAUUGUACUGCAUUUUUGUUUUGGUCAUGAAGUGGGAAUGUGUGGGCGUUUGUUGACUUCUUCACUGGCCUUGCAACUUAGGCACAAACAAGGUCACAAGCAUUUCAUUGCCACUUGGCAGUCUGUGAUUUGCACAUUUUUAUUUUUUCAUUGACAGUUGCUUGAUCACAUGACUGCACGCAAAGUACCCCCACCUUAUAGAUUCGUCUUUUGCAAUUCUGCAAAACUCAAGCAGGUCUGUUAAAAAAUCAUGAAUAUUCUUUCUGCUUCACUUUCACUUUUAUGUCUCCCAUGAUCUCCCAUGACCAAUUUCCAUAGACAAGGCCUUUCAACGUGCCCAAAAAGUAAGUUGCCUCAACUACCACAACAUUGCUAUUUUGAUAAGCCUUAACAUAAAAUCUAAGAGUAUUAUAUAUAUACAUAUAUACAUAUAUAUAUAUGUGUGUGUGUAUAGUAUUUUUGGGUGUAUUUCCAACUCGGUUAAUAUAGGAUGGUUCUAUGUUUCAUUCGAUGUGUGAGUGUGUGAGUGGCAAUUUGUGUACCCACAUUUUAUGAAGACUGUAAUGUUGCCUCUCAUUUGCUCUUAGUCUCUCACCUUUAGAUAGACUACAAAUUUGAUUAUCGUUCAAUCGGGUUAUAUGAAUCACAAUUUACUACAAUUUUUAAGGCUUUGAUCAUUGAAGUAUCCA